rnacentral:pre_miRNA from 1 species
CUGCUACUCCCUCUGUUCGGAAUUACUUGUCGCAAAAAUGGAUGUAUCUAGACGUAAUUUAGUUCUAGAUACAUCCAUUUUCGAGACAAGUAAUUCCAAACGGAGGGAGUAGUUC